rnacentral:tRNA from 1 species
CAGAGCGUAGCUAAGAAGAAUAGCACCUCCCUUACACCGAGGAGUCACCCGUGCAACUCGGGUCGCGCUGA